AUUGAACGCUGGCGGCAGGCCUAACACAUGCAAGUCGAGCGGAGUGGCGAACGGGUGAGUAAUGUAUCGGAACGUGCCCAGUAGCGGGGGAUAACUACGCGAAAGCGUAGCUAAUACCGCAUACUAUUGGAGCGGCCGAUAUCGGAUUAGCUAGUUGGUGGGGUAACGGCUCACCAAGGCGACGAUCCGUAGCUGGUUUGAGAGGACGACCAGCCACACUGGGACUGAGACACGGCCCAGACUCCUACGGGAGGCAGCAGUGGGGAAUGUUGGACAAUGGGGGAAACCCUGAUCCAGCCAUCCCGCGUGUGUGAAGAAGGUCUUCGGAUUGUAAAGCACUUUAAGUUGGGAGGCGUUACCAACAGAAUAAGCACCGGCUAACUUCGUGCCAGCAGCCGCGGUAAUUC
rnacentral:rRNA from 1 species